rnacentral:lncRNA from 1 species
GUAACUUCUGUGGCAAAAAGUCUGGUGUGGCUGUACACUACAGUAUUUGUGCAUUCAUCAAAUAUUCUCCUGAUCAUGUAUUGAUAGGUUCCUUUUUUCUGUUUUUAUGUUUUAGAGACUAUCUUAAGAAGUCAGGAGAUGGAGUCUCGCUCUUGUCACCAGGCUAGAGUGCAGUGGCACAAUCUCAGCUCACUGCAGCCUCUGCCUUCUGGGUUCAAGCAAUCCUCCUGCCUCAGCCUCCCGAGUAGCUGGGAUUACAGGCGCCCACCACCAUGCCCAGAUAAUUUUUGUAUUUUUAGUAGAGACAGAGUUUCACCAUGUUGGCCAGGCUGGUUUCGAACUCCUGGCCUCAGAUGAUCCACCUGCCUCGGCCUCCGAAAGUGCCGGAAUUACAGGUGUGAGCCACCACACCCGGCCAAAUUAUACCAAGAUUUAACAAAAUAACAGACAUAUAUUAAAAUAUUAAGAAUCAUUUUGUUCAAAGUCAAAAAUCACUAAUACGGGCCUUUUU